rnacentral:lncRNA from 1 species
GCAGCCUGACUGGGCCAAAACUGUGGCUGGUGAUGAUGGCAGGUAUGCGUCCUGCAACAGUAGAAGGUGAGAGAGGCAGGUAUACCGAGGUCUUGGAGGAACACAGCCAGCUAUCAACUUCAGUCCUCACUCUGUGGCUGCCAACACAGUCUUUGAGAGAAGGCCCGUGUGCUGAGCAAACACACCUGUUGGCUUCUUCACGGCUCUUUCUCAUGCCUGCUAGUUUCUUUGCGGCUCUUUGUGGAAGACGGAAGAGCAAGGUCACGCACCCCAGCACCAGCUCUGUACUUUCUCUUGCCUGGCCUCCAUCUACCCCUCACUCACCACCUUGGGCUUGCACCUUCCAAAUCCAGGAUCCGCAUUCGAACCCUUGCUUCAGGCUCUGCUUUCCAGGUGAUGCAAAGACUCAUGUAAAUGGUUUGAUGGAUGUUGCAGAGACAAAUGCAAGUGCUCAGCCAGGUCUCCAGCUCAAGAAACAUCUCAGGAAGGAGUGAAAAGAGGUCACUGUGAGAGCAAAUCCAGCUGGUGGUUAUGAGAAUGUGGAAUGUGGGGGUGAUGGAGCUCCGCUUCUACUGACUCUUCAGAAGGUUCCCAGGAAUCCACGGAGUCCCAGAGUCUUUAGGAAAAGAAGGAUCUUGUGAGGUCAUGUUGUCCAGUUCUCAUCUGACAGAAAGAAUCCAUUCCACCAUCCUAGAAACCCAAAUACUCAUCAUGAUCAAAAGCACUCCUGAAACCCAGGCGUC